rnacentral:tRNA from 1 species
UGGGGAUUAGUGUAACGGUAGCACAACUGACUCUGACUCAGUUAGUCUAGGUUCGAAUCCUAGAUCCCCAG